UACGUAGGGGGCAAGCGUUGUCCGGAUUUACUGGGCGUAAAGGGCUCGUAGGCGGCCAACUAAGUCGGACGUGAAAUCCCUCAGCUUAACUGGGGAACUGCGUCCGAUACUGGAUGGCUUGGAUUUGGGAGAGGGAUGCGGAAUUCCAGGUGUAGCGGUGAAAUGCGUAGAUAUCUGGAGGAACACCGGUGGCGAAGGCGGCAUCCUGGACCGAUACUGACGCUGAGGAGCGAAAGCCAGGGGAGCAAAGCGGG
rnacentral:rRNA from 1 species